rnacentral:rRNA from 1 species
UACGAAGGGGGCUAGCGUUGUUCGGAAUUACUGGGCGUAAAGGGCGCGUAGGCGGUGUGUCAAGUCAGGCGUGAAAGCCCCGGGCUCAACCUGGGAACCGCGCUUGAGACUGGCACGCUCGAGUUCGGGAGAGGAUGGUGGAAUUCCCAGUGAUAGAGGUGAAAUUCGUAGAUAUUGGGAAGAACACCGAUGGCGAAGGCAGCCAUCUGGACCGACACUGACGCUGAGGCGCGGAAAGCGUGGGGAGCAAACAGG